GACGAACGCUGGCGGCGUGCUUAACACAUGCAAGUCGAACGGAAAGGCCCUGCUUUUGUUGGGUGCUCGAGUGGCGAACGGGUGAGUAUCACGUGAGUAACCUGCCCUUGACUUUGGGAUAACUUCAGGAAACUGGGGCUAAUACCCGAUAGGAGCUCCUGCUGCAUGGUGGGGGUUGGAAAGUUUCGGCGGUUGGGGCUGGACUCGCGGCCUAUCAGCUUGUUGGUGGGGUAGUGGCUUACCAAGGCUUUGACGGGUAGCCGGCCUGAGAGGGUGACCGGCCACAUUGGGACUGAGAUACGGCCCAGACUCCUACGGGAGGCAGCAGUGGGGAAUAUUGCACAAUGGGCGGAAGCCUGAUGCAGCAACGCCGCGUGCGGGAUGACGGCCUUCGGGUUGUAAACCGCUUUCGCCUGUGACGAAGCGUGAGUGACGGUAAUGGGUAAAGAAGCACCGGCUAACUACGUG
rnacentral:rRNA from 1 species